rnacentral:rRNA from 1 species
UACAGAGGCCCCGAGCGUUGUUCGGAUUCACUGGGCGUAAAGGGUGCGUAGGUGGCUUGACAAGUUUGAUGUGAAAGCUCAGGGCUUAACCCUGAAAUGGCAUUGAAUACUGUCGAGCUGGAGGUUUGGAGGGGGGACUGGAAUUCUUGGUGUAGCAGUGAAAUGCGUAGAUAUCAAGAGGAACACCAGUGGCGAAGGCGAGUCCCUGGACAACACCUGACACUGAGGCACGAAAGCUAGGGGAGCAAACAGG